GCAGGCACAGACAGCCCUGGC
rnacentral:miRNA from 1 species